rnacentral:lncRNA from 1 species
UUAUUACAUUUAUACUUGUACAAUGAUCAUCACAAUCCAAUUUUAUAGGAUUUCCAUCCCACACCCCCAGUGCAUCCCCCCACCCCCUGAACUGUCUCCUUUGGAAACCAUAAGUUUUUCAGUCUGUGAGUCAGUAUCUGUUCUGCAAAGUUCAUUCUGUCCUUUUUUUCAGAUUCCACAUGUCAGUGAAAGCAUUUGAUGUUGGUGUCUCAUUGUUUGACUGACUUCACUUAGCAUGAUAAUUUCUAGGUCCAUCCAUGUUGCUAAAAAUGCCAGUAUUUCGUUCCUUUUAAUGGCGGAGUAAUAUUCCAUUGUGUAUAUGUACCACAUCUUCUGGAUCCACUCCUCUGUCCAUGGACAUUUAGGUUGUUUCCAUGUCUUGGCUAUUGCAAAUAGUGCUGCAUGAACAUUGGAGUACAUGUGUCUUUUCAAGUCAUGGUUUUCUCUGGGCAUCGAUAGAUGCCCAGGAGUGGGAUUGCUGGAUCAAAUGGUAGUUCUAUGUUUAGUUUUCUGAGGAAUCUCCAUACUGUUUUCCACAGUGGUUGCACCAAUUUACAAUCCCACUAACAGUGUAUUAGGGUUCUUUUUUCUCCACACCCUCUCCAGCACUUACUAUUUGUAGACUUUUUGAUGAUGUCCAUUCUGGCUGGUGUAAGGUGGCACCUCAUAGUGGUUUUAAUGUGCAUUUCUCUAAUAAUGAGUGAUGUUGAACAUCAUUUCAUGUGUUUCUCGGCCAUCUGUAUGUCUUCUUUGGAGAACUGUCUGUUUAGAGCUUCUGCCCAUUUUUGGAUGGGGUUCUUUGUUUUUUUUGUAUGGAGCUGCAGAAGUUGUUUAUAAAUUUUGGAGAUUAAUCCCUUGUCAGUCGUUUCACUUGCAAAGAUUUUCUCCCAUUCUGUGGGUUGUCUUUUUAAGUUGUUUAGGGUUUCCUUUGCUGUGCAGAAACUUUUAAGUUCAACUAGGUCCCAUUUGGUUAUUUUUGGUUUUAUUGUCAAUACUCUAAGGGGUGGAUCUGAGAAGAUGUUGCUGUUGUUUAUGUCGGAGAGUGUUUGGUCUAUGUUUUCCUCUAGGAGUUUGAUAGUGUCUAGUCUUAUAUCUUGGUCUUUAAUCCAUUUGGAGUUGAUUUUUGUGUAUGGUUUUAGGGAGUGAUCUAAUUUCAUUCUUCUCCAUGUGGCUUUUCCGUUUUCCUAGCACCACUUCUUGAACAGGCUGUCUUUUCUCCAUUGUAUAUUCUUGC